rnacentral:rRNA from 1 species
UACGAAGGGGGCUAGCGUUGCUCGGAAUCACUGGGCGUAAAGGGUGCGUAGGCGGGUCUUUAAGUCAGGGGUGAAAUCCUGGAGCUCAACUCCAGAACUGCCUUUGAUACUGAGGAUCUUGAGUUCGGGAGAGGUGAGUGGAACUCCGAGUGUAGAGGUGAAAUUCGUAGAUAUUCGGAAGAACACCAGUGGCGAAGGGCGGCUCACUGGCCCGGUACUGACGCUGAGG